UACCAGCUCUCCGAGUGGUGCGGAUGUUUAUUGGGCCUAAAGCAUCCGUAGCUGGCUGGGCAAGUCCCCUGUUAAAUCCACCGAUUUAAUCGUUGGAGUGCGGGGGAUACUGCCCGGCUAGGGGACGGGAGAGGCAGACGGUAUUUUCGGGGUAGGGGUGAAAUCCUAUAAUCCCGGGAAGACCACCAGUGGCGAAGGCUGUCUGCUAGAACGUGCCCGACGGUGAGGGAUGAAAGCUGGGGGAGCGAACCGGAUUAGAUACCCGGGUAGUCCCAGCUGUAAACGAUGCAGGCUAGGUGUUUGGACGGCCACGUGCCGCUCUAGUGCCGCAGGGAAGCCGUUAAGCCUGCCGCCUGGGGAGUACGGCCGCAAGGCUGAAACUUAAAGGAAUUGGCGGGGGAGCACCACAAGGGGUGAAGCUUGCGGUUUAAUUGGAGUCAACGCCGGAAAUCUCACCGGGAGCGACAGCAGUGUGAAGGCCAGAUUAAAGGUCUUGCUGGACGAGCUGAGAGGAGGUGCAUGGCCGUCGCCAGUUCGUGCCGUGAGGUGUCCUGUUAAGUCAGGCAACGAUCGAGACCCGCGUCCUCUGUUGCUACUGGUUUUGUACCAGGCACACUGAGGAGACCGCCGCUGAUAAAGCGGAGGAAGGAGCGGGCCACGGCAGGUCAGUAUGCCCCGAAUCUCCCGGGCCACACGCGAGCUGCAAUGGCAGGUACAAUUGGUUCCGACCUCGAAAGGGGAAGGCAAUCCCGAAAGCUUGCCGUAGUUGGGAUCGAGGGUUGAAACCCACCCUCGUGAACAUGGAAUCCCUAGUAAUCGCGUGUCACUAGCGCGCGGUGAAUACGUCCCUGCUCCU
rnacentral:rRNA from 1 species